rnacentral:tmRNA from 1 species
GGGGGCGUUUUGGCUUCGACGGGGGUAAGAUGGGUUUGAUAAGCGAGCCGAGGCAAGCAUGUCACCUCGAUAAUAAAGUAUGCAUUAAAGAUAAACGCAGAAGACAAUUUUGCAUUAGCAGCUUAAUAUAGCCGCUCAUCAGCCC